rnacentral:lncRNA from 1 species
UCCUUUAAAACGCUGAGUUUGACAGAAAAGUGUGGCGUACAUUUUGCUCAUAAUCGACUACAACGUGACAAUGAAGAUUGAGGAUGUUUCAUCUUUACAUCGUGGCAGAUGGUAAAUGAUGGCAAGUCCACAUUUGUUUCAGAGCAGAGACAGCGUUGCAGAUGGACAAGAGCGUAAAAGCUUUAUUAAGCAUCCAACCUCAUGUUUCUGCAUAUUGUGCAGCAGUGGGGGUCAGCUUAAUCAAUUUAGUCAACUAAAACAAAACAGGACAGCAGGAAGGAUAAAACUGGAAACUGCGAAGUGUUAUUUAUCCUGAAAAGCCAUUCUUGGUGUCAUGCAGUACUAUAAACAAGCUGUAUCAUUCUCCCCAUGAAACACUUUUACAAUCACGCUGCACACCCGUAAAGAUAUCCUCUCUCUCGCAGCAUCAAUGAGAUUA